GUGUCUCCUUCUUGAUUUCCACCACUCGGGGUUUGUUUCCCUCGAGUUUACCUUGAUUCUCGUUCCUUUUCCGCACUUCGAGCUUUCUGCCCAUUUUUCACCCUCUCGGGGUUGAUUUUUCAGUUGACUUUUCACAUUCUUGCUCGGUUUUUGCACUUCCGGCCAUUUUUGCACUCUCUUCGAGAUAGCAGACGACAUACCACAGGGUGGGGCUCCCCCAGAGAUGGAUGUUGACCCCGAGGUCGAGCGCCUACCUCUCCAUAUCCGUCCGUUCGACCCGGCGACUUACAGGCCGGCUAUACACGUGUUGCCUCCCGACAGACUUCGCCAAUUCAGGAGUUUUGCCAGGGGCGUGCCACCAGAGCUUCUACUGCGUGAGCCAGAGUCACAUCUGUCUUACGGCGCUUCCGAGGUAUACUCUUCCCCGUUUCAUUUUCAAUGUAGAACACAGCUGCAAUAGUCGAUCUUGUUCUUUAAUUGCUUAGCCCGGAUACACCGAUAUACCACAUGUUGUAGUUUACUGCGAGCACACCUAUACUCGGUAUUUGUUUGAAUCUGAAUGCGUGCACACACACUGCACUGAUACAUCAUAUGCUGUAGUUUACUGUGAGCACACCGGCACCCGACAUCUGUUUAACUGGAAACGUGCACACACGCACUGCAUUUUCGCUGGUACUGAGUGCAUUCAACACUGUAUUUGUAACACUGCUUCGCAACUGUCUGUUUUGACCAUAGGGGGAUUCCCAUGCCUUCCGGGGGUAUGGGAACGUCAUGGCCCAGGGGUGGUACAUGGAGCUUCCUGAGGCGGUGCGCUGUAUCGUUGACCAGGCCAGCUUCGGCACUUUCUGCAUGGGGCUCUCACGCCUUACUGCGAGUAGGCCUCUCCUUGCUGCUCUGGUGGAGAGGUGGUGGGACACAAUCGACUCUUUCCAUCUUUCCGCCACCGGGGAGAUGACGAUGACUCCCUUUGACUUCUCCAUGCUCACAGGCAUCGGAGUGGGGGGUGAUCCGAUCCCCUUCGAUACUGACAUAGACGAGUGGGACGUUGCUCAAAUGUACAUGCUCGGCGCUCAGCCACCUCUCGCUCGGGCAGGGUUCGUGCGAUACUCAUGGUUCGAGGACCAUUUUCGGAUCCAAGCGCCCACUACCCAGGAGGAGGAGGAGCAGUACGCUCGUGGCUUUAUCAUGUUUUUGCUAAGGACGACACUUUCCGCCGACCGGGCGAACACCGUGCCCCUUUGCCUGCUGAGUGCACUAGUUGACGUGACCAGGAUUCCCGGCUACAACUAGGGUGGCGCAGGCUUGGCCACACUCUACGACUAUAUGAGUUCAUCCUCCCGCCUCAGCGGACAGCUGCUCGGAGGCUACUGGCGGGCUUGGGAGUUGUGGGUAUACGCCUACUUCCCGAGGCUUGCCCCAGUACCAGAGGAGGAGAUGCCUCCCAUGAUCCCAUUCUCCCACUGCUUUGACGUGAGGUGCGAGCGGAGGCCUCGGGAGUCUUUCAUAUUCUUCCGCCGCUAUUUUGAUACCAUCACCGCGGUAGAGAUACCUGGCAGCCAUGGGCCUCAUUGUCCAUCGCAGUACGGGAGCAGUAUGAGACCUCCCGGUUUAGGAUUUUACUAGAGGGCCCGGUCUGUCGGGCAUGGUACCUGGGCGAGCGCUUCUUGCGGCAGACCUUAGGCGUGCCAGAGCAGACAGUUCCGGAGCUGCCUCCUACGACCAUGAGGCAGACAGAGAUAUACACCCCACAAGAGAUGGCCAUUUAUACGAUCGGUUGGGACUCGGAGGGCUUUAGAGGCGAGGGUGACUAUGCAGAGUACGUCCAGACCUAUAUCAUGCGGCCUCUGGGUAGUGCUCGCCGAGCUGAGAGGGAGAGGCCUGCGGCGCCAGCAGCUGGAGCAGGAUCAGGAGCAGGAGCACCAAGGAUGGCUUGGGCCCAUGGUAGGAGUGGGCCCCGGAGAGGGCAGAGAGCUGGGUGGCCAGCGCUGCCUACGAUGAUGACAUGCAGAGGGCAAGGUGGGGAGACUUAUCAGAUCCCUAUCGCUCCCCCUCCGGCUGAUCAUGAGUUAGUCAAAUUCUAUGACUUGCCCCCGGCUUCCUCCGAGUAUACUCGCCAGUCCCU